rnacentral:rRNA from 1 species
GAUGAACGCUAGCGGGAGGCCUAACACAUGCAAGCCGAGCGGUAGAGAUCUUUCGGGAUCUUGAGAGCGGCGUACGGGUGCGGAACACGUGUGCAACCUGCCUUUAUCAGGGGGAUAGCCUUUCGAAAGGAAGAUUAAUACCCCAUAAUAUAUCGAGUGGCAUCACUUGAUAUUGAAAACUCCGGUGGAUAGAGAUGGGCACGCGCAAGAUUAGAUAGUUGGUGAGGUAACGGCUCACCAAGUCUGCGAUCUUUAGGGGGCCUGAGAGGGUGAUCCCCCACACUGGUACUGAGACACGGACCAGACUCCUACGGGAGGCAGCAGUGAGGAAUAUUGGACAAUGGGUGCGAGCCUGAUCCAGCCAUCCCGCGUGAAGGAUGACGGCCCUAUGGGUUGUAAACUUCUUUUGUAUAGGGAUAAACCUACCCUCGUGAGGGUAGCUGAAGGUACUAUACGAAUAAGCACCGGCUAACUCCGUGCCAGCAGCCGCGGUAAUACGGAGGGUGCAAGCGUUAUCCGGAUUUAUUGGGUUUAAAGGGUCCGUAGGCGGAUCUGUAAGUCAGUGGUGAAAUCUCACAGCUUAACUGUGAAACUGCCAUUGAUACUGCAGGUCUUGAGUGUUGUUGAAGUAGCUGGAAUAAGUAGUGUAGCGGUGAAAUGCAUAGAUAUUACUUAGAACACCAAUUGCGAAGGCAGGUUACUAAGCAACAACUGACGCUGAUGGACGAAAGCGUGGGGAGCGAACAGGAUUAGAUACCCUGGUAGUCCACGCCGUAAACGAUGCUAACUCGUUUUUGGUAUUUCGGUAUCAGAGACUAAGCGAAAGUGAUAAGUUAGCCACCUGGGGAGUACGAACGCAAGUUUGAAACUCAAAGGAAUUGACGGGGGCCCGCACAAGCGGUGGAUUAUGUGGUUUAAUUCGAUGAUACGCGAGGAACCUUACCAAGGCUUAAAUGGGAAAUGACAGGCUUAGAAAUAGGCUUUUCUUCGGACAUUUUUCAAGGUGCUGCAUGGUUGUCGUCAGCUCGUGCCGUGAGGUGUUAGGUUAAGUCCUGCAACGAGCGCAACCCCUGUCACUAGUUGCCAUCAUUAAGUUGGGGACUCUAGUGAGACUGCCUACGCAAGUAGAGAGGAAGGUGGGGAUGACGUCAAAUCAUCACGGCCCUUACGCCUUGGGCCACACACGUAAUACAAUGGCCGGUACAGAGGGCAGCUACACAGCGAUGUGAUGCAAAUCUCGAAAGCCGGUCUCAGUUCGGAUUGGAGUCUGCAACUCGACUCUAUGAAGCUGGAAUCGCUAGUAAUCGCGCAUCAGCCAUGGCGCGGUGAAUACGUUCCCGGGCCUUGUACACACCGCCCGUCA